GGGCGAUGAUUACAACUUAUCCGCGCUUCUGAUUUUUAUUCAUGAAGAAUAACGGAAAAUUGGUUGAAUUUCUUGAUAUGAGCCC
rfam:Musa acuminata subsp. malaccensis Doubled-haploid Pahang (DH-Pahang) genomic chromosome, chr7